rnacentral:rRNA from 1 species
GAUGAACGCUGGCGGCGUGCCUAAUACAUGCAAGUCGAGCGAAUGGAUUAAGAGCUUGCUCUUAUGAAGUUAGCGGCGGACGGGUGAGUAACACGUGGGUAACCUGCCCAUAAGACUGGGAUAACUCCGGGAAACCGGGGCUGAUACCGGAUAAUAUUUUGAACUGCAUGGUUCAAAAUUGAAAGGCGGCUUCGGCUGUCACUUAUGGAUGGACCCGCGUCGCAUUAGCUAGUUGGUGAGGUAACGGCUCACCAAGGCAACGAUGCGUAGCCGACCUGAGAGGGUGAUCGGCCAAACUGGGACUGAGACACGGCCCAGACUCCUACGGGAGGCAGCAGUAGGGAAUCUUCCGCAAUGGACGAAAGUCUGACGGAGCAACGCCGCGUGAGUGAUGAAGGCUUUCGGGUCGUAAAACUCUGUUGUUAGGGAAGAACAAGUGCUAGUUGAAUAAGCUGGCACCUUGACGGUACCUAACCAGAAAGCCACAGCUAACUACGUGCCAGCCGCCGCCGUAA